rnacentral:rRNA from 1 species
UAAAAACCCCGACUUCGGAAGGGGUGUAUUUAUUAGAUACAAAACCAAUGCCCUUCGGGGCUCUUUGGUGAUUCAUGAUAACUAUACGAAUCGCACGGCCUUGCGCCGGCGAUGGUUCAUUCAAAUUUCUUCCCUAUCAACUUUCGAUGUUUGGGUAUUGGCCAAACAUGGUUGCAACGGGUAACGGAGGGUUAGGGCUCGACCCCGGAGAAGGAGCCUGAGAAACGGCUACUACAUCCAAGGAAGGCAGCAGGCGCGCAAAUUACCCAAUCCCGACUCGGGGAGGUAGUGACAAUAAAUACUGAUACAGGGCCCUUUCGGGCCUUGUAAUUGGAAUGAGUACAAUUUAAAUCCCUUAACGAGGAACAAUUGGAGGGCAAGUCUGGUGCCAGCAGCCGCGGUAAUUCCAGCUCCAAUAGCGUAUAUUAAAGUUGUUGUGGUUAAAAAGCUCGUAGUUGAACCUUGGGCCUGGCUGGCCGGUCCGCCUCACCGCGUGCACUGGUCCGGCCGGGCCUUUCCCUCUGUGGAACCCCAUACCCUUCACUGGGCGUGGCGGGGAAACAGGGCAUUUACUUU